AUUGUGAGUCAGCUGUUACUCUUCAGAUGAAGCUCUACUGCACAUCGAUGCUGUCGGUUUGAAUUUAUUUUCAUCAGACGGCACAUGAUCCGAAAAAGGGCGUGGUUUACAGGCCUCUCUGUCAGCGCGGUGCUCUCUGUGGAAACCAUGCCGUUGUAGUUGCUACAGAUGUCUUCGUCAGAAUAGCGCAGUCCGGCUGGAUUGGGUCGGGGAGGGGACCUGCUUGGAGACAAAAGGAAGUGGUAAGGGCAUAUGUGGCGUCAGAGGAACACACCCUUGACAUGGACAGGCCUGCUGUUGAGCUCUAGAGCCGUGAAGCCUCCAUUGUCCAGCGUGACUGUCUCCUCCACCGUGGACACAGCUUUACCUACAGCAGUCAGCAUAUCAUCAUCCCAGCAAAAACAUCACCUGGGUCAAACUUUAAUCGCUGUUUGCUGGAUGGCGUGGGAGUCUGAGUGGGCGGAUGUGUUUAUCUGGAUGAGUAUGUAUGCAAAUUUACAGCAUAUAAUGAUUAUGUGAGGGAGGAUGGAUGUGUCCUGAGAAGACUGCAGAAGUUUGGUUCA